rnacentral:rRNA from 1 species
UUGGAGGGCAAGUCUGGUGCCAGCAGCCGCGGUAAUUCCAGCUCCAAUAGCGUAUAUUAAAGUUGUUGCAGUUAAAAAGCUCGUAGUUGGAUUUCGGGGUUCAUACGUUGGUCGGGCUAUUUGGUCUGUACUUAUGUAAUGGAUUCCUACCUUCUGAAUAACCGGCAUGCCAUUAAUUUGGUGCGCCGGGGAAGCAGGACUGUCACCUUGAAAAAAUUAGAGUGCUUAAAGCAGGCUAUCGCCUGAAUACAUUAGCAUGGAAUAAUGAAAUAGGACGGCAUGGUUCUAUUUUGUUGGUUUCUAGGAUCACCGUAAUGAUUAAUAGGGAUAGUUGGGGGCAUUAGUAUUCAAUUGUCAGAGGUGAAAUUCCUGGAUUUAUUGAAGACUAACUUCUGCGAAAGCAUUUGCCAAGGAUGUUUUCAUUAAUCAAGAACGAAAGUUAGGGGAUCGAAGACGAUCAGAUACCGUCGUAGUCUUAACCAUAAACUAUGCCGACUAGGGACCGGACGAUGUUAAUUUUUUAAUGACUCGUUCGGCGCCUUACGGGAAAC